GUGGUGCGUGGGAGUGGGGCUGCCCCACAGGUCGGGGGGGGCUGUGCCGGGUCCCCUGUGGAUGCUUCCCACCGUCGUGGCCUCAGAGCACGGCGGGUCCUCACCCUGGGGGGGGGCUGUGAGGCCGUGCUCGGGCCGGACGCCCACCCCGGGAGCAGCCGUCACCCCGGGGCCCGGUCCCCUGCAUUCUCCCCCGAGAGGGGUUCUUCUCCAGCUCCACAGUGAUGCCGGGACCCUGCCCCCCAGCUCUGCCCUUCUCCCCCCGACGGCAAAACCUCCCUGUUCGUGGAGGGGAAGUUGGUGGACUGCUACGAGCCUAAAGUGAGAGCAGUAAGUGCCGGGGUGGGGAGGGAAGGCUGCCUGCACCGGUCCCCACUUCCUGCUGCCUCCAUGAGGUCACAGGGGAUGAGGACAGGCACAUCCCCGCAUCCCCAAAGCCUGGUGCCAGGGUCUGAGACACCCCUGGAGGCGCCUGGAGGGAAGGCUCAUCCCCAGGGCAGGUCCCCGUUUACCUGGUGCCACCUCUGCAGCCUCCAACAAGACGGUGGUGGUGGGCAAGGAUGAGUUCCAGCUGGUGGGCACAGCCGGGCAGGAUGACACCACCCUGCUCCACUCCUUUGUCAUCAGCAUCCACAGCUAUGUCCUGGUGGACUUGGUGACCUCCUUGCAGAGGUGAGGGACCCUGCUGGGAUGUCCCCACUCUCUCGGGGCUGGGCCCACCUGAGGGGGAAGGUUCUGGUGGGGGGGCAGUGCCCAGAAUUCCUCCCUUUCCCCUGUGAGAAACCAGUGGUGAAGACCCUUCAGAACAAGACCCUGAGAGCCAGGGGAAAACGUGGAAGAUGUGGAAGGUGCUGUCUCUCCUGGGGAGGAAGAAGGCCCGGGGGAUCGGGGGGUGUCCCUCACCCUCCCCAUGCCCACAACAUGCCCGUGGUGCGGACAGGGAACAAGGUGGACCUGUCCCUGCGGAGGUAAGGAGGGCUCUGAGGGUCCCUGUCCCCACCUGAAGGCCUGUCCUCUGUGGUGUCUCCAGCUGGGAGGUGAAGAUGGAUGAAGGGAAGAAGCUGGUGGAGUCGUGGGGGGCCAUUUUCCUGGAGGCCUCGGCCAAGGAGAGGCAGGUGACCUGGAGGAUUUUCACGAAGAUCAUUGAGGAGCUCAACGGGGUGGACAACUCCAGCAGAUCCAGCGGCUGCUGCCUGACAUGAGCCUGGGGCUGACCCCCAGGACUAGACAGAGGCCUCCCACGGGACCAUCCCCUGGGUCACGGCAGCGGCUUUGGGGGCGGGUGGUCCGGCCGUUGUAUGGGACCCCUCACUUUGCACAGGCUGUGGGGCUCACGAGAGGCUGGGAGUGGGGUGGGGGGACCCAUCCCAGCCAGGGAGCACCCCCUGCUCAUGGCUGCUGUCUCCUCACAUGCACAAGGACACAUGGGGGGGGUGUUCCCCCUCUGGGCACGGGGAGCUGGGGCUGAAUGCGGGUGUUGUUCCCAGCGUGGGUCUGUGGGCCGGCUGUGCCGUGUUGGCAGCCGGCGCUUGGGGGAG